rnacentral:piRNA from 1 species
UUUGUACAAGGAGAGUUGCCAGGUCCAAA